rnacentral:rRNA from 1 species
UGGGGAAUAUUGCGCAAUGGGCGAAAGCCUGACGCAGCGACGCCGCGUGGGGGAUGAAGGUCUUCGGAUUGUAAACCCCUUUCGGGAGGGAAGAUGGAAUGGGGUAACCCAUUCGGACGGUACCUCCAGAAGCAGCCACGGCUAACUUCGUGCCAGCAGCCGCGGUAAUACAGAGGCCACGAACGUUGUUCGGAAUCACUGGGCAUAAAGCGCACGUAGGCGGCUAGGUCCGUCCAAUGUGAAAGCCCCCGGCUCAACCGGGGAAUUGCAUCGGAUACAGCCUGGCUUGAGGACGGUUGGGGUGAGUGGAACUCCUGGUGGAGCGGUGAAAUGCGUAGAUAUCAGGAGGAACACCGGUGGCGAAAGCGGCUCACUGGACCGUAACUGACGCUGAGGUGCGAAAGCUAGGGGAGCAAACGGGAUUAGAUACCCCAGUAGUCCCUGAGCGGGCUGGCAAGGCGCAU